CGGGGAGCACCACAACGGGUGGAGCCUGCGGUUUAAUUGGACUCAACGCCGGGCAGCUCACCGGAUAAGACAGCUGGAUGAUAGCCGGGCUGAAGACUCUGCUUGACUAGCUGAGAGGAGGUGCAUGGCCGUCGUCAGUUCGUACUGUGAAGCAUCCUGUUAAGUCAGGCAACGAGCGAGACCCACGCCAACAGUUGCCAGCAUGUCCUCCGGGAUGAUGGGGACACUGUUGGGACCGCCUCUGCUAAAGAGGAGGAAGGAAUGGGCAACGGUAGGUCAGCAUGCCCCGAAUUAUCCGGGCUACACGCGGGCUACAAUGGUCAGGACAAUGGGUAUCGACACCGAGAGGUGGAGGCAAUCUCCUAAACCUGUCCUUAGUUCGGAUUGUGGGCUGCAACUCGCCCACAUGAAGCUGGAAUCCGUAGUAAUCGCGUUUCAACAGAACGCGGUGAAUACGUCCCUGCCCCUU
rnacentral:rRNA from 1 species